rnacentral:rRNA from 1 species
UACGAGGGGGGCGAGCGUUGUUCGGAAUUAUUGGGCGUAAAGGGCGCGUAGGCGGUUUGGUAAGUCUUAUGUGAAAUCUACAGGCUCAACUUGUAGUCUGCAUGAGAAACUGCCGGGCUUGAGUAUGGGAGAGGUGAGUGGAAUUCCUGGUGUAGCGGUGAAAUGCGUAGAUAUCAGGAGGAACACCUGUGGCGAAAGCGGCUCACUGGACCAUAACUGACGCUGAUGCACGAAAGCGUGGGUAGCAAACAGG